AUUGAACGCUGGCGGCAGGCCUAACACAUGCAAGUCGAACGAGUGGCGGACGGGUGAGUAAUGUCUGGGAAACUGCCCGAUGGAGGGGGAUAACUACUGGAAACGGUAGCUAAUACCGCAUACCAUCGGAUGUUCCCAGAUGGGAUUAGCUAGUAGGUGGGGUAACGGCUCACCUGGGCGACGAUCCCUAGCUGGUCUGAGAGGAUGACCAGCCACCCUGGAACUGCGACACGGACCAGACUCCUACGGGAGGCAGCGUGGGGGAAUAUUGCACAAUGGGGGCAAGCCGAAUGCAGCAAUGCCGCGUGUAUGAAGAAGGCCUGCGGGUUGUAAAGUACUUUCAGCGAGGAGGCGUUACUCGCAGAAGAAGCACCGGCUAACUCCGUGCCAGCCGCCGCGGUAAUUC
rnacentral:rRNA from 1 species